UACGUAGGGGGCAAGCGUUGUCCGGAAUCAUUGGGCGUAAAGAGCGCGUAGGCGGCCCGGUAAGUCCGUUGUGAAAGUCAAAGGCUCAACCUUUGAAAGCCGAUGGAUACUGCCGGGCUAGAGUCCGGAAGAGGCGAGUGGAAUUCCUGGUGUAGCGGUGGAAUGCGCAGAUAUCAGGAGGAACACCAAUAGCGAAGGCAGCUCGCUGGGACGGUACUGACGCUGAGGCGCGAAAGCGUGGGGAGCGAACAGG
rnacentral:rRNA from 1 species